GUGCUGCCUAACACUUUAAACACACUUGUGUUACUGUACUGUAACUGAUGAUUUUCCACAUCCCACUAGGUGAUUACUGGCCUGGAUACACAGAACAAAUAUAAUUGGGUAAUGCAAGGUAUACGAGUGCAGUACGCAAGAUGGGAUGAUGAGUUUAGCGGGUCUACCUGCCGUG